GGGUUAUUAUCCUAAUCGGUAAGGAACUUUCUUGUCAUGGAAGUAUAUGUGGGUUCGAGUCCCACAUAACCCG
rnacentral:tRNA from 1 species